rnacentral:rRNA from 1 species
GGUUAAGUUAGAAAGGGCGCACGGUGAAUGCCUUGGCACUAGGAGCCGAUGAAGGACGGGACUAACACCGAUAUGCUUCGGGGAGCUGUAAGUAAGCUUUGAUCCGGAGAUUUCCGAAUGGGGAAACCCCCUAUCCGUAAUGGGAUAGGAUCUUUACCUGAAUACAUAGGGUAUUGAAGGCAGACCCGGGGAACUGAAACAUCUAAGUACCCGGAGGAAGAGAAAGCAAACGCGAUUCCCUGAGUAGCGGCGAGCGAAACGGGAUUAGCCCAAACCAAGAGGCUUGCCUCUUGGGGUUGUAGGACAUUCUAUACGGAGUUACAAAGGAACGAAGUAAACGAAGAGGUCUGGAAAGGCCCGCCAUAGGAGGUAAAAGCCCUGUAAUUGAAACUUCGUUCCCUCCAGAGUGGAUCCUGAGUACGGCGGGACACGAGAAAUCCCGUCGGAAGCAGGGAGGACCAUCUCCCAAGGCUAAAUACUCCCUAGUGACCGAUAGUGAACCAGUACCGUGAGGGAAAGGUGAAAAGCACCCCGGAAGGGGAGUGAAAGAGAUCCUGAAACCGUGUGCCUACAAGUAGUUAGAGCCCGUUAAUGGGUGAUAGCGUGCCUUUUGUAGAAUGAACCGGCGAGUUACGAUUACAUGCGAGGUUAAGUUGGACAGACGGAGCCGCAGCGAAAGCGAGUCUGAAUAGGGCGAAUGAGUAUGUGGUCGUAGACCCGAAACCAGGUGAUCUACCCAUGUCCAGGGUGAAGUCCAGGUAACACUGGAUGGAGGCCCGAACCCACGCACGUUGAAAAGUGCGGGGAUGAGGUGUGGGUAGCGGAGAAAUUCCAAUCGAACCUGGAGAUAGCUGGUUCUCUCCGAAAUAGCUUUAGGGCUAGCCUCAUGCGUGAGAAUCUUGGAGGUAGAGCACUGUUUGGACUAGGGGCCCUCAUCGGGUUACCGAAUUCAGACAAACUCC